CGCGUAGGCGGCCGAUCAAGUCGGAGGUGAAAUCCCUCGGCUCAACUGAGGAAUUGCCUUCGAUACUGUUCGGCUUGAGUCCUGGAGAGGGUAGUGGAAUUCCCGGUGUAGCGGUGAAAUGCGUAGAGACCGGGAAGAACACCAGUGGCGAAGGCGAGUCUCUGGACAGUUACUGACACUGAGGCACGAAGGGCCAGGGAGGCAAACG
rnacentral:rRNA from 1 species